ACUAGAAGCCGAUGAAGGACGUUACUAACGACGAUAUGCUUUGGGGAGCUGUAAGUAAGCUUUGAUCCAGAGAUUUCCGAAUGGGGAAACCCAGCAUGAGUUAUGUCAUGUUAUCGAUAUGUGAAUACAUAGCAUAUCAGAAGGCACACCCGGAGAACUGAAACAUCUUAGUACCCGGAGGAAGAGAAAGAAAAUUCGAUUCCCUUAGUAGCGGCGAGCGAAACGGGAAGAGCCCAAACCAACAAGCUUGCUUGUUGGGGUUGUAGGACACUCUAUACGGAGUUACAAAGGACGACAUUAGACGAAUCAUCUGGAAAGAUGAAUCAAAGAAGGUAAUAAUCCUGUAGUCGAAAAUGUUGUCUCUCUUGAGUGGAUCCUGAGUACGACGGAGCACGUGAAAUUCCGUCGGAAUCUGGGAGGACCAUCUCCUAAGGCUAAAUACUCUCUAGUGACCGAUAGUGAACCAGUACCGUGAGGGAAAGGUGAAAAGCACCCCGGAAGGGGAGUGAAAUAGAACCUGAAACCGUGUGCUUACAAGUAGUCAGAGCCCGUUAAUGGGUGAUGGCGUGCCUUUUGUAGAAUGAACCGGCGAGUUACGAUUUGAUGCAAGGUUAAGCAGUAAAUGUGGAGCCGUAGCGAAAGCGAGUCUGAAUAGGGCGUUUAGUAUUUGGUCGUAGACCCGAAACCAGGUGAUCUACCCUUGGUCAGGUUGAAGUUCAGGUAACACUGAAUGGAGGACCGAACCGACUUACGUUGAAAAGUGAGCGGAUGAACUGAGGGUAGCGGAGAAAUUCCAAUCGAACCUGGAGAUAGCUGGUUCUCUCCGAAAUAGCUUUAGGGCUAGCCUCAAGUGAUGAUUAUUGGAGGUAGAGCACUGUUUGGACGAGGGGCCCCUCUCGGGUUACCGAAUUCAGACAAACUCCGAAUGCCAAUUAAUUUAACUUGGGAGUCAGAACAUGGGUGAUAAGGUCCGUGUUCGAAAGGGAAACAGCCCAGACCACCAGCUAAGGUCCCAAAAUAUAUGUUAAGUGGAAAAGGAUGUGGCGUUGCCCAGACAACUAGGAUGUUGGCUUAGAAGCAGCCAUCAUUUAAAGAGUGCGUAAUAGCUCACUAGUCGAGUGACACUGCGCCGAAAAUGUACCGGGGCUAAACAUAUUACCGAAGCUGUGGAUUGUCCUUUGGACAAUGGUAGGAGAGCGUUCUAAGGGCGUUGAAGCAUGAUCGUAAGGACAUGUGGAGCGCUUAGAAGUGAGAAUGCCGGUGUGAGUAGCGAAAGACGGGUGAGAAUCCCGUCCACCGAUUGACUAAGGUUUCCAGAGGAAGGCUCGUCCGCUCUGGGUUAGUCGGGUCCUAAGCUGAGGCCGACAGGCGUAGGCGAUGGAUAACAGGUUGAUAUUCCUGUACCACCUAUA
rnacentral:rRNA from 1 species